GGACCCGUAGCUCAGCUGGAUUAGAGUGCUAGACUACGAAUCUAGAGGUCGCAGGUUCGAACCCUGCCGGGUCCGCCA
rnacentral:tRNA from 1 species